rnacentral:lncRNA from 1 species
AAAGGGAAAAAAGAAAGAAAAGAAUCAGAAUCUUCUGAGCUUAAUAAUGCAAGUGAAAAUUUAUGUAGUGUCUCUCUUGCUUUUUGUAUGAGAGGUUGAAAGCCUGCACAUCUUAAUAAGGUAUACCUAAUAACAUGUUAAUAACUCACAUAUUGUCCGCUUUGGACUACAGACCUUAAAUGAAAGGGCCUUCAUAAAUUAUACAUGUCUGACAAAUAGGUGAUACAUUUUUCAAAUCACAUAAGCUCUUCAGAAUCAAGUCUGCUUUGUGGAGAUAAUUAAAGAAAAUCAAUGUGUUUUGGUUGAUAGAUAUUUGACUAGAAAACACAUUCUCCCCUCAACUCAGACAAUGGGGCGCCUAAGCUUCAAGACCAGUGUUCUCUGAAGACAGAGUGAGGGAUGGGAUUGGAAGGCUCAAGUGUUCUGGGUGCAGGACUUAUGACUCCAGACACCAGGUUCUCCCUGUGGUACCGGUCCUGACCCUAACUUCCCACUGAGCUGAGGGCAAUUGAGUUGAACUCCUGAUCUCUGUCUCUUUCCCUGGGUCAAGGAAUAUGAUUCUUUUUGUCUCACUGGGACCACGAGAGGCUUAAUUCAUCAAUGUUGGUAAAGUGCUAGGAAGAUGAGAAGUGCUGUGCCCAUUCUAAGCAACAUUAUUGAUUCACUUUUUCCUUGUGGUUAAUAUAAAGUUCUCCACAUAUCAGAUAAUGGCUCAGCGUUGCAUAAACAGCCAAGAAUCGCUAGUGGGAGAGAUGUGGCCUGUGUUUUCUCUUAGGAAUAUUGAUGUCUGUAAAAUGCCUUCAGUUUCUCUGAAAAAACAUUAUUACAUGAUUUAAGCUGAUUAUAUUAUUGUUGUAUUUUUAUCUGCAUAUCAGAGUCUUUUUUUAUUUGUUUGUAUUGUUUUGUUUUUCAGUAAUGAUCUGAAAUAAUGUUGAGCCCAGUAAAUAUUUUAUGUUAAGGAAGGCCUAGAUUGUUCAUCAGACUUGGUUCUGGAUCACUUCUUCCUGUUUCCAAAUUCUAAACAUCCUCAGGAAAUGGAGAAUUCAACACCACUAGUUAUCAUAAAAAUGGAUGUUCAGUGGACUGUCGCAAUGAAGUAACAGAAUCCCCAGUUUUCAGCUGGUCACAUGGCAGCCCAGAAUAAAGCCACAUCUCUCAGCCUCCCUUGCAGCUUGGUGUGCCAGUGCCGAAGCUUGGAUGAUGCUGUGGAGGAGUAAGUGUUCUGGGGCAGCUUCUGAGAACUUCCUUUAAGUGUCAGCUGCAUCUCCUUUGGCCCUCCUUUUUCGUCUUCUUCUUGAUCAUGGGAUAUGUGGAUGUAACUGCUGGAGUUCCUGUGACCAUGUUGGACCAUGCAGAUGAGGGCCUUGCUUAGGAGUGGGGAGUGGAGUCUGGCAGGAGCUGGGACCCUGUGUUCACAGGGCUGCGUAUUGCCCUGGACUUUUACAUGAGAGAGCUGAUGAACUGUGAUCUGUCUGUUAUUUUGGGUGUCGGACACUUCCAGCCAAAUGUGAUCCUGAUAGGAACGUCCUACAAAGUGAGCACUUUAAGUAUGGAGGGGACAAUAUACAGAGCAGUGAUGAGAAUGGAGAAUGGCAAUGAGGGAAGGCUUCCUGGAAGAAUCUGCUAUCCCAGCCCAAGCUCUUCUCUUAUCUCUCAUUAUUUCUUCUGUCUUACUGUUUUGUGAACAUGACGCUUUCUCUCUUCCUGACCUUUGCUCAUGCUGUUCCUUCUGCAAUGCUUUCUCUGGUUAUCUUCCUGCUUGUCUAGUUAAUUUUAUAAUUAUAUUAAAUUAUACAGUCCGCAUAAGUACUUAACACGGCUAGUAAAUCUGUGUAAACACCACGUACAUUUUGCUGUUAUGCUCCUUAUCAUGAUUACUAGCCAGGUCAAAUUUUGCCUCUUUUCCGAAACCUCUCUUGAACACUCUUCCUCUUUGGUACUGCAGUAGUACUGCCACUCAGUACCCUAACACCUGACACUUAAAAUGUAUUUCACUCACAUCAGAACCCUGAUAUCUGGCACCUAGUGGUGCUCGGGAAAUGUUUGCUGAAUGCAACUGUGUUAUACCAGUUCUGUUUAGGGGAAGUAACUCUGUGUUCUGUUUAGGGGAAGUAACUCUGGCUAGUUAUUUGUGUAGCUACUACUCAAGAGGAAUGGAGGGACAAGAUCAGUGUGGCCCCCAAGCUUCCGUCUUCUUUGUCUCCUGGCUUCUUUGCCAUUGUGUCACCUCCCCAUCCUCAGGCUGUUAUUCUUAUGGCCACUUCUGUAAAGGAAGGUCAUAGCAAAACAGCUUCAGCCUUGCCUUAGCUUGCCUCCUGAAUCCUCAGCUUUGCCGACCUGAAUUCUAAUCACUGCUUUUUAGGGGUCAGAGGAAUGGAGGCAAACAAACAGAUCAGUAUGGGGUUGGGAGGAGUCAAAGCUGUAUUUGCAAGGUUACUCCAUUUUGACAGCAACAGGACUGGUAUUUGAAGGCAAUUUUUUUUUUUUGAGACGGAGUCUUGCUCUCUUGCCCAGGCUGGAGUGCAGUGGUGCAAUCUUGGCUCACUGCAAGCUCCGCCUCCCAGGUUCAUGCCAUUCUUCUGCCUCAGCCUCCCGAGUAGCUGGGACUACAGGCGUGUGCCACCAGGCCGGCUAAUUUUUGUAUUUUUUUUUUUUUUAGUAGAGACGGGGUUUCACCUUGUUAGUCAGGAUGGUCUUGAUCUCCUGACCUCGUGAUCCGCCCACCUCGGCCUUCCAAAGUGCUGGGAUUACAGGCGUGAGCCACCACGCCCAGCCUGAAGGCAACUUUUAUACAGUAUUAUGCUAUCCUUUGGUUUACAUGUUUCUGCUAGAUGGGAUUGCUAUGCCAACACACCCCAUGUGUGGAACUGUGUCUCAGUUCCCACCCUCAGCUCUACUAAGGUGUCCCCCUUGCACUUUCCUCCCUCCAGUCCCUUGGGCUAUUGGCACUGUCACUCAGGUGUCCAGGCAGCUGACAUGGGUGGUAGAAGCAGGCAUUAUCCCGUUGUCUCAGUUGGGCUUAUACAGGGACUCCUGCUUGGUCUUUGGGAGUUCAGAUGCUAAAAAGUCCCCUGUCAAGAAUAAGGAGGGCCUUGACACUGAAGGGAUGAGGCAGAUUUUGCUCCAGAUGGUCUUUGGAAAAAGGAAUUAGUACAGCCAGAUUGGAAAGUUUUAGUGAUUGAGAAAGAAGUACUGAUUUUGAUGAAUCAUUUCCACAGUCCCUGCCCUAUUUCUUGGUCUUGUCUCUGUUUGGAGGACUGAGUGAAAGUGUCCAUCCAGCUUCCUCCCAUCGGUGCUAACAAACUGCACUGGCUGGAUUUUGGUACCACAUUCCCACGGUGGUAUGUCUUAGGUCUCAGGCCAGCGUCCAAAGAGACCAUAUAUUAUUGUAAUUGACUAUUUUAUUGAGACCCUUAUAAUCAUACCUACUUUACCCAGUAAAGCAAUUCUUGCUUUCUUAUUCACAAGCUUUUUCCGGAUAGUAGGUGAUUACAAUAUGUCCCUCAUCUAAGCCUCCACCUAUGAUUUCCAAACAGUAAAGUUCCUCAGCUGAAUAUUAGUUAUCCCUCUUGUUUUUUUUAAAAGUGACAUUAGGAAAUGGCUAAACAUUUUAUUGCCUUCUUAUUGUCAUCUGCUUUUCCUCCACCCACCUCCUGGGUAGGUACAACAGAGCUUGCAGGGUGGCAGUGGUAGAAUGGCAUGUGGGCCAUAGACUUGUUUCAUUUGGCUUGUAGAGAACUUAACAUUUUGAGGAGGGAUUAUUUCCUAGUUAAUAAGUGGGAGAUUUCAACUCACAUAAAAACCUAGAUUCCCAACUUUUAAAAAGUCAGUUUCCACUUGAUGACAGUCAGCUACUACUGGGCAAUGGUUGCCUCUCUUAACCAAGGCAUUUUCUCACCAGUUCACCAUCACUGGCCCACAUUUGUCUAGCUUCUUCAUUAUCUGCUUAGCCCAGAGGGCAUUUGGUUUGAGACCCUUGACACAGCCCCCUUCUCCAGCUCCCACACUUUUCAGUGUCUGCUUUGCUACUCCUGCUGUCUCAGAUAUUCCCUCCAAUGGGCCUUUUCCUCACCAAUCCCGGCUGUAACAAAUCCUGUACAGCAGCCCUAUGCACUCUUCCUGGGGAAGAGCUCUAUGCUUUAUUUCCCCACAGAUUUAGUUGCAGUUGGGAAGCUGAGUGCUGACCUCCAGGUAAAUAUUGGAGAUCUAUGGGCAGAUCCCAGCCUGUUGGCUGGAGGUGCUAGUUCUGGUGCCAUGGACAUAUGGGUCUGACCCUGCAGUCUUUUGCCCUGCUCCUGAACUCCCAGUUUUGAGCUUGAUUGCAGCCUACAAUUAGGGGCAGAGCAGUAUGGGGAGUUGUUUUUAUCCUUUUGGAGAACUGUGGGCUUUCCCCAUAAUAAAUGCUGUAAUAUAAUGAUAACCGCACAGUUGCUUUACAGUUUUUUCGUUAAGUUCCUUCUUAUAAAUCAUUCCUUUACAUGUCUCAAUGACCUGAUGAAGUAGGUGUUAUUAUGGCCCCUGUUUUGCAGAUGAGCCCUAGAGGAGGCUCAGAGCACCUGCCCAAGAUUUCAUGGUCACAGCCCAUCAGGGUCUCAGGCGCCCAUGGUUUUUUAUUUAAAAAAAUUGUUUUAAGCUAUCAUACUGCUCACUGUGUGGCCUCAAUUUUAGGCUUGAAUGUUUCUCCAAAUCUGUAAAUGCCUAUAGACACAACUUAGCACACAGGAGCAUCAGGGUUACUAGUUACAUUCACCCUAUCACUGAAUAGGCCAUCAACAGAACCCAAAGAGAAAAAAAUCCCCAGUACUGUUUAUAUGCCAGUGAAUUUCUCAACCUAAACUCUCUGAAUCCUGAGCUAUAAAUGUUAGAAAUAUAUACAUUUUUAGUAACAAAAAUGGCUUUGGCAUUUCUAAAUAUUCAGAAAUUUGCAACCAUUACCUUCUUUAUUAUAUCUACACACCUUUAUAUUCUUAAUUGUUUAAAAUUCAAAAUUGACAGAUGUUAAAAAAGUUGGUUACAUUUUAACUAAUAAUAAUCAUAUGGGUUUGAUAUGCUGGCUAUGUUUUUUAAAUGUCCAUGGAAAUAAAUAUAUAAGUAC